rnacentral:rRNA from 1 species
CACGUAGGGCGCAAGCGUUGUCCGGAAUUAUUGGGCGUAAAGAGCUCGUAGGCGGUCUGUUGCGUCCGCUGUGAAAACUCGGGGCUUAACCCCGAGCCUGCAGUGGAUACGGGCAGACUAGAGGUAGGUAGGGGAGAAGUGGAAUUCCCGGUGUAGCGGUGAAAUGCGCAGAUAUCGGGAGGAACACCGGUGGCGAAGGCGGUUCUACUGGGC